GCCGGGGUAGCUCAGCGGGUAAGAGCGCCAGACUCAUAAUCUGGAGAACCAAACCCGAGGGUCCAGAAGUCGAGGGUUCAAACCCCUCCCCCGGCA
rnacentral:tRNA from 2 species